GGGUUGGCCGAGUGGUUAAGGCGUUGGACUUAAGUUCCAAUGGACAAGUGUCCGCGUGGGUUCGAACCCCCCCAACACCCA
rnacentral:tRNA from 1 species